AUUUGACCUCAAAUCAGGUAGGAGUACCCGCUGAACUU
rnacentral:rRNA from 1 species